rnacentral:rRNA from 1 species
GAUCCUGGCUCAGAAUCAACGCUGGCGGCGCGCUUAACACAUGCAAGUCGAGCGAGAAAAGGGGGCAACCCCUGAGUACAGCGGCGUACGGGUGAGUAACACGUGGAUCAUCUACCUUUUAGUGGGGAAUAACCCUGGGAAACCGGGGCUAAUACCGCAUAAGCCUGUAAAGGGAAAGCAGCAAUGCGCUGGAAGAGGAGUCCGCGGCCGAUUAGCUAGUUGGUGAGGUAACGGCCCACCAAGGCGACGAUCGGUAGCCGGCCUGAGAGGGCACACGGCCACACUGGCACUGAAACACGGGCCAGACUCCUACGGGAGGCAGCAGUGGGGAAUCUUGCACAAUGGAGGAAACUCUGAUGCAGCGACGCCGCGUGAGCGAUGAAGCCCUUCGGGGUGUAAAGCUCUUUCGGCAGGAACGAUAAUGACGGUACCUGAAGAAGAAGCUGCGGCUAACUACGUGCCAGCAGCCGCGGUAAUACGUAGGCAGCAAGCGUUGUUCGGAAUUACUGGGCGUAAAGAGUGUGUAGGCGGUGCUCUAAGUUCGGUGUGAAAUCUCCCGGCUCAACUGGGAGGGUGCGCCGGAAACUGGAAUGCUUGAGCGUGGGAGAGGAAAGCGGAAUUCCUGGUGUAGCGGUGAAAUGCGUAGAUAUCAGGAGGAAACACCUGCGGUGUAGACGGCUUUCUGGACCA